UGGCAUACCUCUUCAGUCUUGUGUCAAUGCUUCUAUUGCAUUGAACGCACUGUGGGUUUCUUGUGUUGCAUACCUAAUUAAUGGUAUCGCUUGAUGAAUUGGUAUUCCUUUCGUCUUGUGUCGCCUAAGCGAUGCGUGAUGAACCUUGAAGCAGCCUUUGUGAUCCACUCUUUUGAUGCAUACGCAUUGAUUUUGUGGCCCAUUGAGUGUUGCUUGGUCUCAUGGAUAUGGAAACUGGUGUGGGCAUGGAAUCUUAAUGGUUCCUUGUUUGCCCAACUUUAGCUUUUCUAAAACGAUUGUCUAUCAUGUGUUAACAUGGUAGACUCCUUCGAAUAUGAAUGCUACCUGGUUGAUCCUGCCAGUAGUCAUAUGCUUGUCUCAAAGAUUAAGCCAU
rnacentral:misc_RNA from 1 species